UACGGAGGUGGCGAGCGUUGUCCGAAGUUACUGGGCGUAAAGCGCGCGUAGGCGGGUUUCUAAGUCUGCUGUGAAAGCCCGGGGCUCAACCCCGGCGGGUCGGCGGAUACUGGGAGCCUUGAAGGUGCUAGGGGGGAGUGGAAUUGCUGGUGUAGCGGUGAAAUGCGUAGAUAUCAGCAGGAACACCCGUGGCGAAGGCGGCUCCCUGGGGCACUCUUGACGCUGAGGCGCGAAAGCUGGGGGAGCGAACGGG
rnacentral:rRNA from 1 species